AUACGAAGGGGGCUAGCGUUGUUCGGAAUAACUGGGCGUAAAGCGCACGUAGGCGGAAUGUUAAGUUAGAGGUGAAAUCCCAGGGCUCAACCCUGGAACUGCCUUUAAUACUGGCAAUCUAGAGAUCGAGAGAGGUGAGUGGAAUUCCGAGUGUAGAGGUGAAAUUCGUAGAUAUUCGGAGGAACACCAGUGGCGAAGGCGGCUCACUGGCUCGGUACUGACGCUGAGGUGCGAAAGCGUGGGGAGCAAACAGGAUUAGAAACCCCAGUAGUCC
rnacentral:rRNA from 1 species